rnacentral:rRNA from 1 species
UCGAGGAUCUUUCGCAAUGGGCGAAAGCCUGACGAAGCGACGCCGUGUGAGCGAUGAAGGCCUUCGGGUUGUAAAGCUCUUUCGCUCGGGAACAAGAAAGAAGCGUGAAUAACGCUUCGAUUUGAGGGUACCGGGUAAAGAAGCACCGGCUAACUCCGUGCCAGCAGCUGCGGUAAUACGGAGGGUGCAAGCAUUAAUCGGAUUUAUUGGGCGUAAAGGGCGCGUAGGCGGAUGGGUAAGUCAGAUGUGAAAUUCCGAAGCUCACCUUCGGACCUGCAUUUGAAACUGCCUAUCUAGAGGAAUGGCGGAGAAAACGGAAUUCCACGUGUAGCGGUGAAAUGCGUAGAUAUGUGGAGGAACACCUGUGGCGAAAGCGGUUUUCUAGCUUAAGCCUGACGCUGAGGCGCGAGAGCAAGGGGAGCAAACAGGAUUAGAUACCCCGGUAGUCC